GACAUUUGGUAGAGACUGUUGAACCCACCUGGUCCCAGCAGACCCCAGAGAAUAGCUAUAUUCGCUAGUGGUGGAACAGGGUCAUUAAAGGUGAAGGCUGGUGCCAGAUGUGU
rnacentral:rRNA from 1 species